rnacentral:rRNA from 1 species
GACGAACGCUGGCGGCGUGCUUAACACAUGCAAGUCGAACGGAAAGGCCCUGCUUUUGUGGGGUGCUCGAGUGGCGAACGGGUGAGUAACACGUGAGUAACCUGCCCUUGACUUUGGGAUAACUUCAGGAAACUGGGGCUAAUACCGGAUAGGAGCUCCUGCUGCAUGGUGGGGGUUGGAAAGUUUCGGCGGUUGGGGAUGGACUCGCGGCUUAUCAGCUUGCUGGUGGGGUAGUGGCUCACCAAGGCUUUGACGGGUAGCCGGCCUGAGAGGGUGACCGGCCACAUUGGGACUGAGAUACGGCCCAGACUCCUACGGGAGGCAGCAGUGGGGAAUAUUGCACAAUGGGCGGAAGCCUGAUGCAGCAACGCCGCGUGCGGGAUGACGGCCUUCGGGUUGUAAACCGCUUUCGCCUGUGACGAAGCGUGAGUGACGGUAAUGGGUAAAGAAGCACCGGCUAACUACGUG